rnacentral:rRNA from 1 species
GCUAUUUCUAGCCCAUUAAAUAUAAAUCACAACUAUAUAUUUCACUUAACCAAAACAUUUACCUAAAUAAAAGUAUAGGAGAUAGAAAUUAUUCAAAUGGCGCAAUAGAGAUAGUACCGUAAGGGAAAGGUGAAAGAAUUACUCAUAGCAAUAAGAAGCAAAGAUAAAAUCUUUUACCUUUUGCAUAAUGAAUUAACUAGAAAAAUCUUAACAAAAAGCAUUUUAGCUAAUAACCCCGAAACCAAGCGAGCUACAUAUAAGCAACCUAUUCAGGGUUAACCCGUCUAUGUCGCAAAAUAGUGGGAAGACUUGUAUGUAGAGGUGACAAGCCAAUCGAGCCUGGUGAUAGCUGGUUACCCGACCCGCGAAUUUAAGUUCGACUUUAAAUUUACCUAAAAAAUAUUAAAUUAUAAUGUAAAUUUAAAAUAUAGUUUAAAGAGGAACAGCUCUUUAGAUAAGGAGACAACCUACAGUAGUGAGUAAAUUAUUUGUAUACCCACAGUUGGCCUAAAAGCAGCCACCAGUUAAGAAAGCGUUCAAGCUCAACACUAAAUUAUCCUUAAUUAAUAUAGCAACUAAUCAUCUCCUACUACAUAACCGGGUUAUUCUAUUAUAAUUAGAAGAAACAAUGUUAAUAUAAGUAACAAGAAAUUACUUCUCCCAGCAUAACUGUAUAUCAGACCGAAUAAAUCACUGAUAGUUAACAACUUUAUAAUAUUAUCUACACCUACAUAUUUUAUUAUUAACCAUUGUUAACCCAACACAGGCAUGCGCACACGGAAAGAUUAAAAGGAAUAAAAGGAACUCGGCAAACACUAACCCCGCCUGUUUACCAAAAACAUCACCUCUAGCAUUAAUAUUAUUAGAGGCAAUGCCUGCCCAGUGACUCAUGUUUAACGGCCGCGGUAUCCUGACCGUGCAAAGGUAGCAUAAUCACUUGUUCUUUAAUUAAGGACUUGAAUGAAUGGCUUGACGAGGGUUUAACUGUCUUUUUUUCCUAAUCAGUGAAAUUGACCUCCCAGUGAAGAGGCUGGGAUAAAUCAAUAAGACGAGAAGACCCUAUGGAGCUUUAAUUAAAUCAACCUACUUAUAACCACUUCUUACCUACGGGAACAGCCCCAAAAUAGAUAGGUCGAUAAUUUCGGUUGGGGUGACCUCGGAGCAUAAAAAACCCUCCGAACGACACAAAAUAGACCUACAAGUCGAAAUAUUUAUUAUUCCAAUUGACCCAAAAAAUUGACCAACGAAACAAGUUACCCUAGGGAUAACAGCGCAAUCCUAUUCAAGAGUCCAUAUCGACAAUAGGGUUUACGACCUCGAUGUUGGAUCAGGACAUCCUAAUGGUGUAACCGCUAUUAAAGGUUCGUUUGUUCAACGAUUAACAGUCCUACGUGAUCUGAGUUCAGACCGGAGUAAUCCAGGUCGGUUUCUAUCUAUUUCUUAGCCUCUCCCAGUACGAAAGGACAAGAGAGACAAGGCCUAUGUAUCAAUAUAUGCCUUAAUAAAUAAAAUGAAUAAAUCUUAAUCUAAAUAUAUCAGCCCUGCCCUAGAUCAGGGCUU